rnacentral:lncRNA from 1 species
GUCAGCAGAGGAUGUUCCAUUACUGAAAGUAAACUCAUGGUCCAAAAUCCUCACAAGAAAACUGGACAAAAGAGAGAUCAUUGGUUUCCAAGCUACCCACACCAAGUCGUAAGAAGCUCAUGAGUCGCCACAGUGACAACCCUAUGCGCCACCAAAGUUCACCAGGCAGACAAAUGCAAGCCUUAUACUAAAAAGCAGUGAUAUUGUACGGUAUAUUGAUGCAGUACAAAAUUGGGUGCACAAA